CCCUACGGGGUGCACCAGGCGCGAAACCUUCGCAAUGCGCGAAAGCGCGACGAGGUUAUUCCGAGUGAUUUCCGCUGAGGAAAUCUUUUCCCAGAUCUAAAACGUCUGGGGAAUAAGGGGAGGGCAAGUCUGGUGUCAGCAGCCGCGGUAA
rnacentral:rRNA from 1 species